rnacentral:rRNA from 1 species
UUUUUAUGGAGAGUUUGAUCCUGGCUCAGGAUGAACGCUGG